rnacentral:rRNA from 1 species
GGAAGGAUCAUUAUAGUACAACCGAGGCGCGAGGGCUGUCGCUGACCUUUCAGGUCGUGCACGCCCAAGUGCUCUCACACAUCCAUCUCACCCCUAUGUGCACCACCGCGUGGGUCCCCCUUUGGCUCGUUCGAAGGGGGGCUUACGUUUUCACACAAACUUUGUAUGCAGUGUAGAAUGUAUUUUUGUUUUGCGAUCACGCGAUCAAUACAACUUUCAACAACGGAUCUCUUGGCUCUCGCAUCGAUGAAGAACGCAGCGAAAUGCGAUACGUAAUGUGAAUUGCAGAAUUCAGUGAAUCAUCGAAUCUUUGAACGCACCUUGCGCCCCUUGGCAUUCCGAGGGGCACACCCGUUUGAGUGUCGUGAAAUUCUCAAAACCUUUUUCUUUGGGAAAAGGUUUUGGACUUGGAGGCCUUUUGCUGGUUUCACCUUGAAGCGAGCUCCUCCUAAAUGAAUUAGUGGGGUCUGCUUUGCCGAUCCUUGACGUGAUAAGAUGUUUCUGCGUCUUGGGUUCGGCACUGUCACCUGCUUCCAACUGUCUCAUUGACGACGAUGGCGCUCCGGUCACCACCGCUCUGUCGGUGGGAGGCUUGACCCACAAAAAAAAACCUUGACCUCAAAUCGGGUGAGA